rnacentral:rRNA from 1 species
GACGAACGCUGGCGGCGUGGAUUAGGCAUGCAAGUCGAACGGUAUCAUCCUUUCGGGGGUGAGAGAGUGGCGAACUGGUGAGUAACACGUAGGUUAUCUACCCUCAAGACGGGGACAACCCAGGGAAACUUGGGCUAAUACCGGAUGUGAGCAACUUUUAGUUGUUUGAAAGGUGGCGUAAGCUGUCGCUUGGGGAUGAGCCUGCGUCCUAUUAGUUAGUUGGUGAGGUAACGGCUCACCUAGGCAAUGAUAGGUAGGCGGCCUUAACGGGUGGUCGCCCACACUGGGAUUGAGAUACGGCCCAGACUCCUACGGGAGGCAGCAGUCGAGAAUAGUCUACAAUGGUCGGAAGACUGAUAGUGCGACGCCGCGUGAACGAUGAAUCCCUUCGGGUGUAAAGUUCUUUUAUAUGUGAGCAGUGCUUCUUAUAUUAACAGUAUGGGGAGAGAGAUAUUAGCAUAUGAAUAAGCAACGGCUAACUCCGUGCCAGCAGCCGCGGUAAA